rnacentral:rRNA from 1 species
GCCUGAUGCAGCCAUGCCGCGUGUGUGAAGAAGGCCUUCGGGUUGUAAAGCACUUUCAGCGGGGAGGAAGGCGAUAAGGUUAAUAACCUUGUCGAUUGACGUUACCCGCAGAAGAAGCACCGGCUAACUCCGUGCCAGCAGCCGCGGUAAUA